AAGGGGAAGGGGCGAGCAUUUUUCUCGAAACACCGUACUUCAAAGGCCAACAGUUUAUAUUUCCAUCGAGUAUUUUGACAAAAAAAAUUAUAUAUACACAUAUUUAACACAUCUAGGGAUCGAAUUAUUUACGUCAAUGGAUCGAACCGAAUCCUGCAACGCAAAAAGGUCGCGACGCGUAGGAUGUUUCGAACUGAACCACCGAUUAACAACGAGCUAUACAUAGGAGCGUUUUCAAAGCAAAAUAUGACACGUUCUACUACACCCACUACGGUUUUACUACUACGUCACCCCGGUCGCGACCCUUUUCAUUGUCUGUUUAUGCGCAUUAAUAUAACAAUAAAAAAAAAAAAAGAAAAGUAAUUUUUCGCCGUUGACACAAAAAAUGCGCGUCUGUACCGCUUUUCAAUAGGUAUGAUACGUGUGCAUAAUAAUAAUAUAGUCGUGUGUUAAUGAAAUUCCCAGUACAUUAUCGUUUUUCUACCCUUUACGCGGACAUAAAAAACAGAGGUGGGUACAAGGGAAUAAUAAUAAUUUCGCGCGAGCGCUCGCGCGAAAAUAAUGUUUACAAAACUUCGCAGUCGUGUCAUCUCGGCCGGGACGAUUGAGUUCGCGUCAGUGUUUUUUGU